GACGUAGGGCGCAAGCGUUGUCCGGAUUUAUUGGGCGUAAAGAGCUCGUAGGCGGCUUGUCGCGUCGACUGUGAAAACCCGAGGCUCAACUUCGGGCUUGCAGUCGAUACGGGCAGGCUAGAGUUCGGUAGGGGAGACUGGAAUUCCUGGUGUAGCGGUGAAAUGCGCAGAUAUCAGGAGGAACACCGAUGGCGAAGGCAGGUCUCUGGGCCGAUACUGACGCUGAGGAGCGAAAGCGUGGGGAGCGAACAGG
rnacentral:rRNA from 1 species